UACGGAGGGUGCAAGCGUUUAUCCGGAUUUACUGGGUUUAAAGGGUGUGUAGGCGGGCUUUUAAGUCAGUGGUGAAAUCUCCGGGCUCAACCUGGAAACUGCCAUUGAUACUAUUAGUCUUGAAUUUUGUUGGAGGUAGGCGGAAUAAGUCAUGUAGCGGUGAAAUGCAUAGAUAUGACUUAGAACACCAAUUGCGAAGGCAGCUUGCUAAACAAAUAUUGACGCUGAGGCACGAAAGCGUGGGGAUCAAACAGGA
rnacentral:rRNA from 1 species